GACGAACGCUGGCGGCGUGCUUAACACAUGCAAGUCGAACGGAAAGGCCCUGCGUUUGUGGGUUGCUCGUUUGGCGAACGGGUGAGUAAAACGUGAGUAUCCUGCCCUUGUCUGUGGGAUAUCUUCAGGAAACUGGGGCUAAUACAGGAUAGGAGCUCCUGCUGCAUGGUGGGGGUUGGAAAGUUUCGGCGGUUGGGGCUGGACUCGCGGCUUACGGGCUUGUUGGGGGGGUAGGGGCGUACCAAGGUUUUGACGGGUAGCCGGCCUGGGAGGGUUGACGGCCACAAUGGGACUGCGAUAGGCCCCAGACGCGUACGGGACGCAACAGUCGAGAAUAUUGCACAAUAAGCGGAAGCGUGAUGCAGCGAUGCCGCGUGCGGGAUGACGGCCUAUGGGUUGAAAACCGCUUUCGCCUGAGACAUACCGUGCGUGACGGUAAUGGGUCAAGAAGCACCGGCUAACUACGUG
rnacentral:rRNA from 1 species